AGAAAGAUAAAAACUUCUUAGAAGAUUUUCUUCUCCCACCUUCAGCUUAAUAAAUGGGAAGAAAAAUUGGUGUUUUCUCAGCUUCAGGAAAUAUGCCCAUACGUGGUGAAUAGGAACUGUUUUGAUGAUAAUGCAGCAUGUCAGAAUGAUACCCUUGUAACCUGCGGAAAAAAACUUGAUGUUACAAAAAUUGCUUCUGCACCUGGAUGAAGAAAAGUAAUUUCCUGCCAGAAGAAAAGAGGAGAAACAUACAAGCGGGAUCUUAGACUGGGGGCACUGGACCUGGAAAUGACCUUGGAUUUCAUCUAAUCCCAUACCUUCAUUCUAUAAUCAAGAAAACUGAGGCCCAAUACCACAUCUUCAGUCAUUUAUCUAAGGUCACAUAGGUAUAAAGAUCACAAGCAGAAUUUGAUACCAGAUUCUCUGACUCUAGAGUCCAACUGCACUUUCCAUUGUACCAGAAACAAUAAAAUUACAGUGACACAGAGUCUCUGAGACUGC
rnacentral:lncRNA from 1 species